UAAAGGAGGGUUAAACUUUAAAGAGCGAUCUGAAAUCUAUUUGUAUUUUGAUAUGAUAUUCUAAUAUGCAUCCCGCUGGUAAUCAGCCAUACGGCAGCUGGGACAUGAACUAAUAUAACAGAGGCAUUCAGUUCCAUCGGGGUUAACACGUCAGAACAAGGAAAAUGAAAGGACUCCCGAAACUGAUCUGCUGCCGACUUUAUGCAAGAUGCUGCCUGACCUGCUGAUUUCCUCCAGGAUUUUGUGUGUGUUGCACAGGAAAGUCUGAUCAGUCUUGUUAGCCUGUUGAUGAGGGAACUGAUUUUGACAAGUGCCAUCUAUGGGUGAUGUCUGACAUCCUGCAAACUGGAAUCAUCUAGCAGGCUAAUAAAGCCUAUCAAAAAGAAGUAUCCACAAUGCAAAUCUGAAGUAAAAAUAAAAACAGACUAUAAUUAACUUUACACUAAUUUUCAUUAACUUUGGAAAGCGUGA